GGGAUGGGAGCUCCCCGUGCUGCUGCAGCUGCCCAAACCACAGCUGCAGACCCAGGCCUCCUGCUCUAUAGAGCAGACAGGAGCCCCGACCGGGGCUGCAGCAGCGCAAACUGCAACUGUGGAUCCGAGCCUCCCUGUGCUCUUGGGGGAGCUGGGAACAGCAGCAGAGAUGACCUGCUAGCAGAGAGGAGCUGCUCUGUCUGCUGAGAGUUUCAGACACCUACAGAGACAUCUGAAUGACUUGCCUGCAUGGAGGAGCCACCCUCUCCAGGACCUCCUCUCUGCUGGGAGCUGAACAUUCGACAGGAUGACCUGCCUACGGAGAGGAGCUACCCACUCUUCUGAGCUGUUCUAUCACUAAAUAAAACUCUUCUUCACCCUUCACUUGUCUGGAUGCAGGACAAGAGCUUGGGCAAAGGCACCAUGGCCACAGAGGUUUCCAGUCAAAGAAAUCAACGCUCCAGAGAUCCCGUAACAUUUUGGUUCCUUGAUCUUGGACUUCCCAGCCUAGAACUGGGCGCUUCAAGGUCAUUAUUUGGAACUCAG
rnacentral:lncRNA from 1 species